ensembl:lncRNA
UGGUACAUAGGACAGAAACUGUUUUUGCUCUCCUUGUGGAAAGAUGUUGAGUCAUCAUGAGAUCUAUUGUAGGAGUGCCAGAGCCAGAGAUACCAAUUCUGCAGGAAGAGCAGUGAAGCUGAGACUUAAAGACCAAGCCCUGAAGAGCACCUUGUUUGUUUAUGUUCAUUGCGCUCAUUCUCCUUCAAGGCUAUAGAAAACUUAUUUCUGGAAUUCAGCCAAUGGUAUGAUACAUGUUACAGAUCCCAUUCUUAGCUGCAAAGCUUCUGCUGCAUGUGGCUUAAGGAGAGGGGGGUAGAAGGGAGAUGAAGCAGAUGCCACUGGAGGAUCUUCUCUCUUUUAGAAUCGACCUUCUCCUUAGAGAAGAGAGGUACCCUGCAUGGACUCUGGUGGGUAAAUGUGCUUGUUGAACCCCCAUGAGGAUUUGGUUUGUUUAAUCUGGCUAGAAUGAUGGUAAAACAGUGAGAGGAUUCUGCAAGAAUUUUUCUGGUGUGAGACAUCACCAAAAUUGAUCCUAUUUUGAGCAUUCCACUGUGGCUGAUGAGAAAUGUGUGUGAAACUAUCUGCUGAUCAGAAGAGCUCCUCUUUCACAAUCCUUUCAUAAAACAAAACUAAAUAUUUGGGCUGGGUUUAUUUAUUUAUUUAUUUAUUGCACAGACAUGUCUGGUGCACUACACCAUGCUUGUUUGUGGGAAUACAAGAAAAACUGUUCAGAAGCAGCAGCUGUGGAGCAAGAUAAACAUCAUGAGAACCAAGGACACCUCUAGAAGAAGAAAGAAUAGCUCACGGCUCUGAUUGGAUAAGCACCCACAUGAAUGGUUGAAGAGUGUAGAAUGCUCUGUUGACAUGUAAAGGUGGAUGGGAAAGUUGUAGGGGUGGAUGAUAAAGCUAGAAAACUUGUGAAGGUAUAUAAGCGAGGUGAGAACUUGUAAUAAACGAUUUGGAUCGUUCACAUCUGAGUCCAGCAUCAAGUCGCUGCACUCGUGACACCAGCUUUCAAAACCAUUCUCCCCUACUGCAAGGUUGCAGCAACACUUCAAAAGCACUUUGGUGCACCUCUCCCCACAAGGAAAGCAUAACUCAGAAGGGGCAGAACUGAUGUUACAGAGAAGCUGUUCAUCACUCAUUAACGUCUCAGCUGUGUUGGGUGCAGUGGUAGUGAGAAAUGCAAGCUGCUGGGGGGGUUAGAAGUAGUUCAUCCAUGGAUAGUAAAUUGUACUGAGUCACUUCAUAAACAUUUUCCAACAAGAAACUCUUUAUCACGAAGCUAGGACUUUUAAGUGAAUGUUUAAGUCACUAUAUAAUUGCUUUCAGGAUGAUAUCAGAACGUGGAAUAUACCUCUAGAAAUGUUAUUCUCACACAUUAAAAGUCAACAGAGUGUAUGGUUAACAUACCAACCCCAACAAAGAUGAAUUCAGAUUAAGGACUCAUCUGAAAUCACUGAUGUCUGAUAUGCAGUGCUUAGGGAUAUGCUGGGAAAUUGUAUUUACAUUAGCUGACUGCCAUUAAUUUCUGAAGUGGGUUGUCCUCUUUUUUUCCCUCGUGCUCACAACAUUUCAGAAACAAGUGUGAAACAACAGAUAAUUGCAUUUUACCACUAAAAAGCUAGAACUCUCAUGUAAGCAAUCACUGCUAAUCAGGAAUUUUGGCCUGGAAAGGAUGGGAAAGGAACACGUACAGAGCCACACAUUUCCAAGCCUGAGAAGAUCUUGAAGUGAGUGGAAAUGGUUGGCAUCACAAAGAGAAAAUGCUAUUUAGAUCCCAGCACCUACCUUACUUCUCUGUGCAAUGUGGCUGUAGACCAGAGUGGUGGGGUGGUUUGGAGAGUUGUGGAAUUCUCCCACCUUUACCUGCAUUGCCAUGGAGGGAGAAGUUCCGACCUGGACAGCUUUGGUGGAACACAGCUGUAGAUGGAGGCUGGAGAAGAUGCAGGGUCUGCCUGUGCUGUUGGUGGCCCCACAGGGAAAAGUCUCUCUUGCAGCUUCAUCUGUCAGCCAUCCAUCACUUGCAAUCUGACUUGAAGGCUCAGCCUGAGGGACUCUGUCCUGCUUCCUCUUUGUUGGUCCAUCCCAAGGCUGCUCUUCGGAGUAGCAAUAAGAAGAGAAGAUGUCCUAUUUGUCAGUGAUAAUUGUCAGAGUGCUCUGACCCACGAUUUGUGGAAGAAUUGCAGUAGAAGAAUAUCACAGAAUCACAGAAUGGCCUGGGUUGGAAAGGACCUCAAGGAUCAUGAAUCUCCAACAUCUCCCACCACAGGCAGGGCUUCCAACUUCCACAUUUAAUACUAGAACAGGCUGCCCAGGGCCCCAUCCAACCUGGCCUUGAACACCUCCAGGGACGGGGCAUCCACAUCAUCUCUGGGCAGCCUGUUCCAGACCUUACCACACUCAUAGUAAAGAACUUCCUCCUGACAUCCAACCUAAAUCUUCUCUGUUUCAACUUAAAACCAUUUCACCUUGUCCUGCUGUUAUCUACCCUUUCAAAGAGUUGACUCCCCUCCUGUUUAUAGGCUCCCAUUAGGUACUGAAAGGCUGCAAUUAGGUCACCCUGCAGCCUUCUUUUCUCCAGGCUGAACAAGCCCAGCUCCCUCAGUCUGUCUUCAUAGGGGAGGUGCUCCAGCCCUCUGAUCAUCUUUGUGGCCCUCCUCUGGACCAUCUCCAACAGCUUUCUUGUACUGGGGACUCCAAACCUGGACACAGUACUCCAGAUGGGGCCUCACAAGGGCAGAGUAGAGAGGGCUGCUGUCCUGUCACCUCCCUGUGCCUGCUGGCCACCCCUCCACUGAUGGAGCCCUGGAUACCACUUGCUUUCCAAGCUGCAAGAGCACCCUGCUGGCUCAUGUUAAGUUUUUCAUCCACCAGGACUCCCACGUCCUUCUCUGCAGGGCUACUCGCAAGGACUGCUCCUUCCAGUCUGUAUAUAUGCCUGGGAUUCCUCCGGCCCAAGUGCAAAAACCUUGCACUUUGCUGUGUUGAAACUCAUUAGAUUCACCUGGGCCCACCUUUCAAGUCUGUUGAGGUCCCUCUGAAUGGCUUCCCUUCAUUCCACAGUGACAACACCACUCAGCUUGGUAUCAUCAGCAAACUUGCUGAGGGUGCACUCAAUUCCAUUAUCGAUGUCAUUCUUGAAGAUGUUAAAGAGCACCGGUCCCAAGACAGACCCCUGGGGGACACCACUCAUUAACGGCCUCCACCUGGACAUAGAACCAUUAAUUACCACCCUCUGUCUGUGGCCUUUCAACAUAUUCCUUAUCCAUUAGGUGGUCCACCCAUCAAAUCCACAUCCCUCCAAUUUGGAGAUAAGGAUGUGGUGGGGGACCAUGUCAAAAGCCUUGCUUAAGUCCUGGUAAAUGACAUCAGUCGCCUUCCCUUUGUCUACCAGUGCCGUCACUCCACCAUAGAAGGCCACCAGAUUGGUUAGGCAUGACCUUCCCCUGGUGAAGCCGUGCUGGCUGUCUCGGAUCACACGCUCAUUCCUCAUGUAAUCAAGCAUGUCGUCCAGGAGGAUCUGCUCCAUGAUCUUCCCACGUACAGAGGUGAGACUCACCGGCCUGUAGUUCCCCAGGUCCUCCUUGCUCCCAUUCUUACAAAUGGGAGUGAUGCAACCCUUCCUCCAGUCAUCCAGGACCUCACCUGACAGCCACAACUUUUCAAAUAUGAUAGAGAACAGCUCAGCAACCACCUCACCCAGCUCCUUCAGAACCCUGCCAUCCAUGCAUGCCAUCCAGCCCCAUAGACUUGUACGCAUUCAGUCUCAUGAGGUGGUCUCGGACUUGCUCUGUCCUUACAGUGGGGGGGGGGGGGGAUUUACUCACCCGGUCCCCACCUAGAAGUUUAGGGAUGCAGGGUUCAGGGAUGUGAGAAAUAUUAGAGUCCUGGCUGCCAGUGAAGACUGAGGCAAAGAACUUAUUCAGUACCUCAGCCUUCUCUCCAUCUGUUGAAGCCAGCCCUCCUUUUACAUUUACCAAAGGAUACACUCUCUUUGGCCUCUCUCUUCUGGCCAAUGUACCUGUAGAAUGUCUUCAUAUUGUUUUUCACAUCCCUCACCAAGUUCAGUUCUGCCUGCACCUUGGCUUUCCUGAUCCCAUGUCUGCAAGUCCAAAUGGCAUCCCUGUAUUCUUCCCAGGUGACACACCCUUGUUUCCAAAGUUUGUAUGUGCCUUUCCUUCCCCCCAGUUUGCCCAGCAGGUCCUUGCUGAGCCAUGCUGGUUUCCUGCCCUGUCUUCCUGCUUUCUUAUUCAGACGGAUGGAGAGCUCUUGUGAUCUCAGAAAGGCACCCUUGAAGAGUAGCCAGUUUUCCUCAGCAUCUUUGUCUUUAAGGACAGCGUCCUAGGAGAUCUUGGUCAACAAUUCCUUGAACAGCUUAAAGUUCCUAAACAGCUUAAAGUUAAUAGAUAAAUAACUGACUUCUAACAUCUAAAUGCUGUAAGCUAAAAUGAAAUACAAUUUUGAAAGGAUGGGUUACAUUUAAUUUUCUUGCAAGUAACACACUACAACAUUGCUUGAAGGCCUUUUAUAUGACUGAAUUUUGCUCUAAGGUAAGAUUUAAUAUCUGGCUUACAAGAACUAAUGAGCACCUAAGGAAAGCUGUCUUAAAAUGUCAGUAUGAGUCUGGCUACAAAGAAAUAACUUGUCUCUACCCAUCUGUUACACACUAGAGCUAAAUAGACACAAGUGCUUUUUCCUGGAAGCUGUCUGCACAAAUAUUGAGUAAUUUCAUAAAAUUCCGAUUUAGUAAUUUGCCCACUGACGAGGUGAUAGCACAGAUCUGAGUUCCCUGGCAUUUCUGCUGCAGCUAAAACAAUAUCAAUGUGCAUUUCUUUUGCCAUUAGCAUUAUUGCAAAAGGAGACACCGGAAUGAAAUCCAACAUAACCUACUGAGAGAGUCUGUAAAUUAUUUUCCUAUCAACAUCAGAAUAAAAAAUAAUAUGCUAUUCCAGAAAAUUGAAUGGCACCUGUAUUCCACAAUCUUCAUCAGGUCAGCCUGCAUGGGGUUUUGUUUUCCUUGGCCUGGUUUGAAGCUAUGUUUAUAUUAAUUCCAUCCAGUUCUAUUUUAAUUAGCUUAAAAUCCUAGACACUCAAGUUCAUCGCUGUGUUUGAAAGACUGUGUUUCAGCAGCUGUCAGUAGAAGCUUUUUUUGUGCUGAAACUAUUUAAGAGUUCCAAGCUUCUUUCCAUUUCCCCCCUACAG